rnacentral:rRNA from 1 species
GAGUUUGAUCAUGGCUCAGAGCGAACGCUGGCGGCAGGCCUAACACAUGCAAGUCGAACGAACUCUUCGGAGUUAGUGGCGGACGGGUGAGUAACACGUGGGAACGUGCCUUUAGGUUCGGAAUAACUCAGGGAAACUUGUGCUAAUACCGAAUGUGCCCUUCGGGGGAAAGAUUUAUCGCCUUUAGAGCGGCCCGCGUCUGAUUAGCUAGUUGGUGAGGUAAAGGCUCACCAAGGCGACGAUCAGUAGCUGGUCUGAGAGGAUGAUCAGCCACAUUGGGACUGAGACACGGCCCAAACUCCUACGGGAGGCAGCAGUGGGGAAUCUUGCGCAAUGGGCGAAAGCCUGACGCAGCCAUGCCGCGUGAAUGAUGAAGGUCUUAGGAUUGUAAAAUUCUUUCACCGGGACGAUAAUGACGUACCCGGAGAAG